UUGAUGAAUAGCUCUUUUCUCUUAAAUUGUUCAUCCUUUACUCCAACCGAUAGGUUGUGAGUUCGAGUCUCCCCAAGAGCAAGGUGGUAAGUUCUUGGAGGGAAGGAUGCUGGGGGUUUAUUUGGAAACAGCCUCUCUAUACUAAUUAACAAAGGUGAGAAGUUCUUGGAGGUAAGGAUGCCGAGGGUCUAUUUGGAAACAGCCUCUCUACACCAGGGUAGGGGUAAGGUCUGCGUACACACUACCCUCCCCAGACCCCACUAAGUGGGAUUAUACUGGGUUGUUGUUGUUGUUCAUCCUUUACUCCAACUCCAUGCAAAGUCUCCUUUUAUUCUCUUAAAAACAGUGUGCAUAGUUUGCAACAAGAUGUGAAGCUAAUAGGGUUAUGGAAAAAUUGCUGGAGAACAAAUAGACAGAUGUGUGUAAAUUUGAUUUUGCAGCUUCUUUUUCCAAAUUUGUUUUCUAUUGGAAUGUUUUGAAUUUUUUUCCUUCCUUAUCUCUUGAUAAAUGCCAAAGAAAGUUCCAAUUUAUUCAUGUCAUUUCCCUUUUGUUCUUG
rnacentral:lncRNA from 1 species